UCCUGUGUUGGUUUUCUAACGUGAUGGAAAUUGAUCCCAGAUGAGUCCUAAUUUUUGCCUCUCGCCACUUGGUGGUGUUAGGUUGACGUGGAAGUGCUGCCCGUUUUGCUUGAAUGCUUUGCUUUUUGGCACAGCCCAAGGGUAGUUACUACUAGUUCCUUCGGAUGCAGAACUUUUGAAGGGUGCACAGCAUAUUGUUGUUGUUGCUUACCCGCAAAGCGUUCAUGGCUCGAUGCGUUCGACGGUUGUGCCCGCCUUGGUCCUCGUCUUUCACUAGUUUGGACGGGGCUCAUGCGGUGCCGGCGUCACAGAGGAAUGCUACCUGGUUGAUCCUGCCAGUAGUCAUAUGCUUGUCUCAA
rnacentral:misc_RNA from 1 species